UUGGAGGGCAAGUCUGGYGCCAGCAGCCGCGGUAAUUCCAGCUCCAAUAGCGUAUAUUAAAGUUGUUGCAGUUAAAAAGCUCGUAGUUGAAUUUCGGGAUUGGCGCAUCGGUCGUGCCUCACGGGGUAUGAACUGGUGCAGUCAAUUUCUCACCUUCUGGAGAACCGCGAUGUCCUUAAUUGGAUGCCGCGGGGAACCAGGACCUUUACUUUGAAAAAAUUAGAGUGUUUAAAGCAGGCAUUUUUGCUUGAAUACAUUAGCAUGGAAUAAUAAAAUAGGACGGCAUGGUUCUAUUUUGUUGGUUUCUAGGACCACCGUAAUGAUUAAUAGGGAUAGUUGGGGGCAUUAGUAUUCAAUUGUCAGAGGUGAAAUUCUUGGAUUUAUUGAAGACUAACUACUGCGAAAGCAUUUGCCAAGGAUGUUUUCAUUAAUCAAGAACGAAAGUUAGGGGAUCGAAGACGAUCAGAUACCGUCGUAGUCUUAACCAUAAACUAUGCCGACUAGGGAUCGGACGAAGUUAAUUUUAUAAUGACGCGUUCGGCGCCUUACGGGAAACCAAAG
rnacentral:rRNA from 1 species